GACCUCGGUAGCUUAGCGGUACAAAGCAGUGAAGCGUUAACCUGAAGACCUGGGUUCGAAUCCCAGUCGAGUUCA